rnacentral:rRNA from 1 species
CCACCAGACUCCUACGGGAGGCAGCAGUGGGGAAUAUUGCACAAUGGGGGGAACCCUGAUGCAGCGACGCCGCGUGAGUGAAGAAGUAUUUCGGUAUGUAAAUCUCUAUCAGCAGGGAAGAAAAUGACGGUACCUGACCAAGAAGCCCCGGCUAACUACGUGCCAGCAGCCGCGGUAAUACGUAGGGGGCAAGCGUUAUCCGGAUUUACUGGGUGUAAAGGGAGCGUAGACGGCCGUGCAAGUCUGAUGUGAAAACCCGGGGCUCAACCCCGGGACUGCAUUGGAAACUGCAUGGCUGGAGUGUCGGAGAGGCAAGUGGAAUUCCUAGUGUAGCGGUGAAAUGCGUAGAUAUUAGGAGGAACACCAGUGGCGAAGGCGGCUUGCUGGACGACGACUGACGUUGAGGCUCGAAAGCGUGGGGAGCAAACAGGAUUAGAUACCCGCGUAAC